rnacentral:lncRNA from 1 species
AGGAAAGAACCAUAAAUAAAAAAAGAACGGAGAACCAUUUUCAGCCAUUCGAUCAUCAAGAUCUACGGUGGAUGCAUCAUCUUGUUGGAUGAAUGCAGAUCCUGGGUUCGAAUCCUGAAGGGAGCAAUUUUUUUUAUUUUUUUGAGUGCAUUAAUUUUAACAGCGAAUGCAUUAAUUUUUACAGUGAAUGCAUUAGAUUUGAUGGUUCUCCCAUUCUCACAAAUAAUGUAGUUCUCUCUAGAACCGCAUCCUAUAUAUGUCUGUGUAUCUUUUGUUUUUCAUGUUUGUUUUUUUCGCCGCCAUCUUGCCGGCCGGAGUAAGAUAGAGAGCAAGUUUGAGUGCCCAUGGGGUUACAAAUCGAU